UGCAGUGUUGCCAGAUGAUCGUGUGAAU
rnacentral:sRNA from 1 species